AGAAGAAAACACAAUCUAGUGAUUAACGGUUGUUGAAAAUGGAGUGAAUUUCUUGUACAUGUGUGUGAACAAGGUGGUUUGUGUGAAUUAAUAAUGAAAUUUAUUGCAGUCUUUAGAAAAAACUAUGUGCACGAAUAUGCAUUAAGCCGUGGAUAGGAAGAUGCGGAGUGGAAAGUGUGAAACUUUACAUAGUAGCGUCCAGUUGUAAGACGGGAUAAUAAAGAAACAUUAUAGAAGAUGGGUAGAAAAGUGCAAUUGAAAGUUGGUGCAAUUGGAGUAAAGGUGUUAUAAAAAGAAUCGGGAUUUAAUACAAAUUGAAAGCUACAAUUUCGCCCACAAAAGUCUUAACUCCCUUAAAUGUAUACAUAUGUAUACAUUCAGUCAUGCACACCAUCUACAGACUGAUUGGAAAGCAAAACUACGAGUAUAACAAGGGAGUGAUUCCGGCUAUACAGCGCCUCCAAAGCCAUAUGUAAAUGGUUGUGCAAUAAACUGCUGUGUAGAGUACAUAUUUCAAGUUCAAUGGACGAUUACAAAAAUAAUGGAUGAUCUAAUAGGAAAGGCUCGCUGUUGGCACCAUGCUGCUUUGGCGGCAUCUAACAAAUCUAUUAUUUUGUAUUUAAUCAUUGAUGCCAAAUCGUCAUGGCAAGUUACCAAUCGUAUUUGCCACUAAGUUCAUGUGAUUUGACGCCGUUAGAAUUUGUCUUAUGAUUUAUUCUGUGGCCAAAUGCUAACGUCAAUAAGCUACAAUGGACCGAUAACUCUUUAAGUUGGUUUAACCCAGGCUAUAAUCUAUGCAGCGGCGUACACUUGAACGCUUCCAUGUUCGAUGCGCAUGAAAUAGGAAAAAACAAUUCUGUGAAUACUUCACGCAGAGCUUGUUGUUUUAUUCCACUUUCAUACACAAAAGGAAAUGUGUGUGCCUUUCAUAAUUAGAAUUAUCUAACUCUCUUCAAU